rnacentral:lncRNA from 1 species
CUGUGCUCGGGGCCGGGGCUCCACCGGCUACAGCCGCAGUCGCGGUGGCGGAGGUGGCAGCCACCGCGGCUCCGCCACCUGCACCCGGGCUCCAAACUGUGGCGGCCGCGCUCGCCUUGCGGACCCGGCACCCGGGGCACCCGCUUGGCCCGGCGUGAGCGCGGACGCUAUGCACCCACCGCGCUGUGCCUCGGUCGGCACCGAGCGCCGCCGGGGGCUUUGUCCACCUCCGUUUGGCGGAUCCUGGCGGGCGGGAAACCCGAGCUCGAGCGGGAGGCUGGAAAUGCCUUCCCCACGUCCUCCUCCUCGACUCCUUCUGUAAACACCGAGAAACUUGGUGUGCGACGCACUCAGGGGGCGCUCCGAUUUAAUGCCUCGCGCCCUCCAUCCCUUCGGAUUGGCGUUGUAAAGAGACUCCCGCAGGCAGCUGCCUGCCCCUACAAUUGCGGUUUCUUGGGGGAUUUUGCUUUUAGCCCCAAAGUUGGCUUUGCCAAAAGACGCCCCGGUGGGAAGGGCGGAAAGGAGACCCUCUAUGUCGUCGCGCUGAGCUCUUGGAGCCCGUGGGCAAAGCGGCCUACGAAUCCUGGCUCCGCACCUGCCGAGGACCAGAGCCAGUUCCUAAAAAAGAACAGCGGAGGAACCGGCCCGCGCGGCCAGCUGGAGCGCUGGAGCUUCGCGCCGGGCAGGCCGGGGGCGCCCGCCCCCGCCCCUAAUCGUCCUCUCCCACGCGGGGCUGCGCAUUCUGCCGCCUUCAAGACCUGGGGCUCCCUGGCCGGAUCUGGGUGCCAGGUCCCCGCCAUACCCACCCCAGCUCCCGUUCCGGGGGCGUGGCUUGGCGUGAGGGCGGGCUUAAGUCGCCGCGGGUGUCUGACCGAUCUGACAGGUCUCCAAAUUCCUCUCUGUCGCCUGGUGCCCGCGGCGCGCUUCAGAGCGCCAGGGUGGCACACGGCACUUCCCUGGAUCCGGAGACCUCUCAGUCGACUUUCCUGCGGUCUCGGGCCUCCCUUCUCACCCAAACCCUACACCCGCCGCCCUCACAGGCUUCAGGUCUUAGCCUCAGGGAUCCGCACCGGUGACUUCUCUUCGUUCUCCCAGCUGUUGGCUUAG